CCUACGGGAGGCAGCAGUGGGGAAUCUUCCGCAAUGGGCGAAAGCCUGACGGAGCAACGCCGCGUGAUCGAAUGAAGGCCUUCGGGUUGUAAAGAUCUGUUGACAGGGAUGAAUAAGCAAUGCGAAUAGUUUUGUGUAUGACGGUACCUGUUUAGAAAGCUCCGGCAAACUCCGUGCCAGCAGCCGCGGUAAUACGGAGGAUGCGAGCGUUAUCCGGAUUUAUUGGGUUUAAAGGGUGCGUAGGCGGAAUAUCAAGUCAGCGGUAAAAAUUCGGGGCUCAACCCCGUCGUGCCGUUGAAACUGAUGUUCUUGAGUGGGCGAGAAGUAUGCGGAAUGCGAGGUGUAGCGGUGAAAUGCAUAGAUAUCACGCAGAACUCCGAUUGCGAAGGCAGCAUACCGGCGCCCAACUGAAGCUGAAGCACGAAAGCGUGGGUAUCGAACAGGAUUAGAUACCCGGGUAGUC
rnacentral:rRNA from 1 species